rnacentral:rRNA from 1 species
CCUACGGGAGGCAGCAGUGGGGAAUAUUGCGCAAUGGGCGAAAGCCUGACGCAGCGACGCCGCGUGAGGGAUGAAGGUCUUCGGAUUGUAAACCUCUUUCAGCAGGGACGAAGCGAAAGUGACGGUACCUGAAGAAGAAGCACCGGCUAACUACGUGCCAGCAGCCGCGGUAAUACGUAGGGUGCAAGCGUUGUCCGGAUUUAUUGGGCGUAAAGAGCUCGUAGGCGGUUAGACACGUCGGAUGUGAAAACUGGGGGCUCAACCCCCAGCCUGCAUUCGAUACGGUCUGACUAGAGUGUGGUAGGGGUAACUGGAAUUCCUGGUGUAGCGGUGAAAUGCGCAGAUAUCAGGAGGAACACCGAUGGCGAAGGCAGGUUACUGGGCCACCACUGACGCUGAGGAGCGAAAGCGUGGGGAGCAAACAGGAUUAGAUACCCUGGUAGUCCACGCCGUAAACGGUGGGCGCUAGAUGUGGGGACCAUUCCACGGUUUCUGCGUCGCAGCUAACGCAUUAAGCGCCCCGCCUGGGGAGUACGGUCGCAAGACUAAAACUCAAAGGAAUUGACGG